UAGUUCCCUGCAAACCUGGAGUUCGGCUUCCUGACUAGGGAAAACCCUUUUCCUGAUCUCUGGUUGUUUCUCUGCCCACAGGUUCUUUCCUCUGCCCCAUCCACUCCCCACUCUCCAUGAUCUAGGACCAUCUCCUCUUUACCAUCAAGAGACUGCGGCCCACAAGGGUUCAUGCCACUACUCUACCAACCAGGACCACCUCCCACAGUAGAAUUUUUGGAAUGCAGAUGACAAAGAAGAGACUAUCCAGUACCUGGAAGAUUGUAGGAAUAGUCAGAACACAUGGCUGACUACAUGCCAUGGCUACAGUGACCACAAAUCCUAUCAUGAUUUUGGGGGGAAUCUAUCCUGCCACCUGAAUUUCCCAAUACAGAACUCAUUAGGGGUGCCACUUUUGGUUGGAGUGUUGGAAAGGGAAUCCUCUUCUCUCUCAAGUGGCAACAGCCACUGACUUGUUAUUUGUUACUGGGGCUGUGCCCAAAUAGAACUUUCCAGCUCAGCUGGACUUGGGAGGUUCUGGUUGAGUGGAAAGCCAGCCCUACCCACUAAAGGAGGAAUGGAUCUGAGAUAAACGAUGGAAAGACUCCCUGUAGGCAGGGAUCACAUCAACCAACUCUGUUGUAUUGUACUUUCCCAACCAGUUAGUACAAUGCCCUGCACACAGUAAGUGCUUCAUAAAUACCAGUGAUUGAUUAAGGCUUAGCUGUUUGUUACUAAGGACUGGGGCCUGGCCUGGAGUGGAGAGGUGUUCGAAGACUGUCCUUUCUAAGCAGUCUCCCUAUUUACUGCUCUUAUUUUUUAAAGUAAUUGCCCUCACCCCCAUUUAACUGAUUCCGGUUUUCUAUGUGUCCCCUCCAUCGUUACUUAGAUUGGGAACCCCUUGUGGGCCAGGGAUUGUGUCUUACCUUUCGAUUUUUUUUUGGUGCGCCUGCUACAGAAUAAAUGCCAUAAUCACCCUA